rnacentral:rRNA from 1 species
UUACCGAGUGAGGGCCCUUUGGGUCCAACCUCCCACCCGUGUUUAUUUACCUCGUUGCUUCGGCGGGCCCGCCUUAACUGGCCGCCGGGGGGCUCACGCCCCCGGGCCCGCGCCCGCCGAAGACACCCCCGAACUCUGCCUGAAGAUUGUCGUCUGAGUGAAAAUAUAAAUUAUUUAAAACUUUCAACAACGGAUCUCUUGGUUCCGGCAUCGAUGAAGAACGCAGCGAAAUGCGAUACGUAAUGUGAAUUGCAAAUUCAGUGAAUCAUCGAGUCUUUGAACGCACAUUGCGCCCCCUGGUAUUCCGGGGGGCAUGCCUGUCCGAGCGUCAUUGCUGCCCUCAAGCCCGGCUUGUGUGUUGGGCCCCGUCCUCCGAUUCCGGGGGACGGGCCCGAAAGGCAGCGGCGGCACCGCGUCCGGUCCUCGAGCGUAUGGGGCUUUGUCACCCGCUCUGUAGGCCCGGCCGGCGCUUGCCGAUCAACCCAAAUUUUUAUCCAGGUUGACCU